rnacentral:tRNA from 1 species
GACAGUCUGGCCGAGUGGUUAAGGCGGUUGGCUUGAAACCAACUGUGCUCUGCACGCGUGGGUUCGAAUCCCACGGCUGUCG